UAUCUCCCCAAAUACACUGCAAAAGCAUUGUUGAGGGGGUUUGUGAGAAAUGUGUGAACUCUACAUCAGUUUUCCCAGCCUCCUGGGCGUGGCCUACUGUGAGUUGAGCGAACCUUUGACUGAGCAUCAGUUUCACUCUUGGUUUGGAGCUGAGUUUACACCCACCCUGCUGGCUCAUAAGACAACUGAAAACACCAUGGCCACAGUCACAGUUGAAUACUGCAAAGGAUGAAGUUAUGCAUAUCGCUACCAGGAACUAGCCGGCGUCCUCAGGCAGGUUCCUGGUGUGAAAGUGAAUGGAGUUACAGGAAGGCCAGACAGCUUUGAGGUGAUGCUAAAUGACCAGCUGCUCCAUUCAAAGCUGGACAAGGGGGAGUUUCCUGAUGCUGAACAGAUGGCAGAGAAGGUGAGGGAGAUGGUUCCUGAAGGAAAGAGGAAGAAAAAUUCAAAGUCGCACAUAAAGAGUUGCUGUCUCCAGUAGAAGAUGGAGAAUCAAACAACUUCUGUGUCCUCUCUGGCAGAAGUUGUUUGCUUAGUUUUUUCAUUUCCUGUUAAAGAUUAUUACCUCUAAAAAAAAUUGAUUACUGGCUACAAAUGAUAAAUCCACCUGUGUGAUAUAGUAUGAUGUCUGUUGGUGAAAGCAGUUUCUAGGAACCAGGCACUGAUCAGUAUUUCUGUUUA